GCUGUGGUGUAGUGGUUAUCACGUUAGUCUUACACACUAAAGGUCCCCAGUUCGAUCCUGGGCAGCAACAAUGUUAAUAUUUUUGGUUAAAAAACCUGACGUUUUAAGGGUAUUUGCUGUCCAACGGACGCUUAUACUAAACCGGGAAGAUUAUUGAAUUCACAUGGCAUAUGUAACUUUUCUUUUCAGAUUCUAAAGUUUUUAAGGAACACAAAAUAAAAUGAUGACAGAUGUUAUAAUUAUGCUUAUUCCCGUUGUUUAAAUUCAAAGGACAGGAAUACUGUGUAGACAGGCACAAAGAAUUUUCUGCUUUUGAUUCGAAACCAUUCCUUCACUCGUACUACAAAUACAGCUGGAAUAUACCAACUUGGACAACCUUUCAUUUACUCGUUAUUAUUUUCUUAUAUGACUUACAUAUAUAGAAAAGCUAGUAAAAAUAAUAGACAUCUAAUCUAACCUAAGUAGUGAAAUGCUGAAACCACUUACAAAGUAGUUAGUGGUCCCUCCCUGCAAAUCAAAGCUAGCCUGUGCUCAACGGAAUAAUAAGCCAGCUACCCUCACUUCGCUUUUCCAUUGUUCUGUUCCUAAGACUAACUACCACACCAAUUUCUUACUAGCUAAUUAGUAUUAAUCAAUCAUUUAUAGUAUAAUUAAUUAAUUAAUUACACUAUUAAGCUGGACUGCUGUUCAUUAUGAUAGUAGUUUUCAAUCAAGAAAGAUGCUUGUGCUAAAUUCCAGCGAACGUGGCCCAUAUAAGUAACACCACGUGUCAGUGCUGAGUUGGAUCCCACGAGGUUUCCUUGUUUUAAAAGAGUUUUUUGUUGUUGCAGUUCUACCAUAUCUAUAUCCCACUCCUUUCUAGCACCUUCUGGCUCUGGUUCUGGUUCUAGUUCUAGCUAGCACCAUAUAUAUAUAUCUAUCUAUUUAUCUAUCUCUUCAACCGAUUUGUGAGAAGAAUUAUGGGUGAGUUUGAAGAGCAGGUGAAGGAGAGAGCCAAGGAGCUGAAGCAUCUGUUUCAAAAGGGAGUCAAGUUUGUGGGAGAUUCAUGCAAGAAAGGCUGGAACAAAGUCAAGCAUAUCAAACGCUGAUUCAGUCUCAUCUCCUCAUGUGAAUCCCAAACGUAGUCUUACAUUAUUAUUUGAUUUGGUUUGGUUUGUUUUGUUUUGUUUUGUUUCCAUCCCUGUUGGAGGAUAUAAUUUUGGGCUAUCUAAUUUGUUUCUUUUCCUCUCAUAUGUAAGAAAAUUUGUUGUUAUAUAUAAAUAGAUAAAUACCUUUUUUUGCAUUA